rnacentral:rRNA from 1 species
CACGUAGGGGGCAAGCGUUGUCCGGAUUUAUUGGGCGUAAAGAGCGUGUAGGCGGCCAUGUAGGUCCGGUGUGAAAACUCGAGGCUUAACCUCGAGAUGUCAUCGGAAACCAUUUGGCUAGAGUCCGGAAGAGGAGAGUGGAAUUCCUGGUGUAGCGGUGAAAUGCGCAGAUAUUAGGAAGAACACCAAUGGCGAAAGCAGCUCUCUGGGACGGUACUGACGCUGAGACGCGAAAGCGUGGGGAGCGAACAGG